UUUUAGAAGAGAAGAUGUGCUUUAAUGUGCCUUACACAUUCAAGAAAGCAAAGAUUUUUGUUAAGAGGGAAAGCUAUAAUGAAGAAGGUGAAGGAAAGGGGUUAUUAGCGAAGGAGAUUGAGAAAUGGAAGAAGCAACAUGGCAUGAUUAUAAUACAAGAAGAGCAUGAUGCUUCCAAGCCCAUCAAAUCAUCCCAUGAUAAUAAAUGAUCAUCAUCUUUCUCUUCACUUAUAUCUUUUUCAUUUGGUAACUUGUGUAAGUAGAAACUAAGCCUAAUUUGUGAUGUUUGUUUCUUGUUACCCUCUUUUUUGUGGGUUGGUGUGGGGAUGAUGGUGUGGAUUAUUUUUUUAUCAUUUACCUAUUAUAUGUGAUGGUGGUGUAAUGUUGGCAAAGUUGUACAGUGCUUGAAAGCUUUA
rnacentral:lncRNA from 1 species